AACAGGAGCUGGCAGAGUAAUUGUCAAGAAAAGAAGACACCAUUUACGAAUUUUUUUUUUUUUUUUUAAAGAGAUUAAGAUAAGACUAGGUGAAGAUCUGACAUCGCAGAAUUCUUCAAGGAUAACACGCCUUUUCUGCCAAACGAGGUCUAAUUUCUGCUGCUGUACUGUACACCCCAAGCACCCCCUGCAUUCUUAUCAUGGAUUGCUGUCAUUCAAGAAGUUAUCAUUUCCUCCCAUUGUGGCUGAGCUACACAUUCUCUUUGUUUUUUUUAAACACAAAACAUCCAGAGGAGAUGGCACCUACGCUGGAAUCCAU